rnacentral:rRNA from 1 species
UCGUGUCGUGAGAUGUUGGGUUAAGUCCCGCAACGAGCGCAACCCUUGUCUCAUGUUGCCAGCGGGUAAUGGCGGGGACUCANGAGAGACUGCCGGGGUCAACUCGGAGGAAGGUGGGGAUGACGUCAAGUCAUCAUGCCCCUUAUGUCCAGGGCUUCACACAUGCUACAAUGGCCGGUACAAAGGGCUGCCAAUCCGUGAGGGGGAACGAAUCCCUUUAAAGCCGGUCUCAGUUCGGAUCGGGGUCUGCAACUCGACCCCGUGAAGUCGGAGUCGCUAGUAAUCGCAAAUCACCAACGCUGCGGUGAAUACGUUCCCGGGCCUUG